CUGACAGGCAGCCUGAGAGGCAGCAACCCUGACGAACCAAAAGUGAAACUGAGGCGACGAUCGCGCUGAGAAAGUAAAGCAGCAACACCAACGCACACUUUCCCUCCUAAAGUUUUCCUCUGAGAUCAAGCAGACAGCAGAUAGCAGGACGGGGAGUCUUUACCAAGGAAAUGCUUUCAAUUCUGAAUAUAAUUUGAGCCCUGCGGUCCUGCUAAAUCCCCCUAAAGUUUGUCUCCCAGAGUAUCAGCUGCUGAUUUAAGCUCCAGUAAUCUUAUUUACUAGUAGUGAUAAGCAUUGCUGGUCAGCUCCGGCUGCUUUGGGCCAAAACAGCCAAAUAAAAUUCAUAUUUACAGAACAUCCUCCACCUUUAGGAGGCAGCGAGACAGUUGCCCAUUAACCUUCUGAACCCUAAGUAGUUUCUGGGUGUUUUUUACUCCCAUUUUUACUCACUGUGGACUCAUUUUUCACUGUAAUGUAAAGUCCUAAACCUCUAUUGAAACACAACAGCCGUGAAUAGAAGUACAAAGAACUCAGAAAUAUCUUUUGUGCAGGAGACCAAAGUUAUUUGCCAUAAGUCAUAGAAAAGUGAAAACAAAAGGAUACGAUUUUUGGAUUAUUUAAUUUACAAAAAGUGGAAAAACCUGGAAUCAACAUGUACAACAUUUUUCCAGAUGUCCAGCAGUGGUAUAAAUGUGACUCUACAUGCUAUAAAUAUUUUACUGCUUACAUUUUUAAUUAGUUUUAACACGUAUCUACUCUUUGCUCUGUGUAAACACUGACUGCAGUUCAGCCGAGUAGUUCCUGAAUUUUUGACUGUUUUAAAUGUCUUGAUGGUUACAUCAAAGAGCAGAGUUUUUUUUGCUUUUUUUUUUUACAGAAUAUGGUUUAAGCAAACCAUUUAUUUUAGGCAAAUUGUUAAUGAGACAUGUAGAAUUGAGUGAUUUUGAUAAAAUGUCACCAUUAUAAGCAAAAAUUUGCUGACGGAACUUCACAUAUGAUUAGUUCAAGGGCCGUCGGAAAGAUGAAAAUCCAGAAAUUCUUUCUGUUUGUAAAGUUUCUGAGCAAUGGCACUAUUUUGUGGAUUUAAAAAAAAAAAAAAAAAAAAAAGAUACCACACCUUUCAAACACACUGGUGAAUUUUGGGGUUCAGAGAGUUAAUUAGCCACAGUGUUUCCCAAACUUGGUAUCAAGGUCCCAUAAUGGGUCACAGGACGGUUUAAUUAGUAAAUUACUGAGAAAGUUACAGCACAGACAUUGCAAUGUGUGACACGAAAGAACUGAUUCUUAGUUAAAGCCAGAAAUAUGAUCAUAUCUGACAAAAUUAAAGGGCAAAUGUUAGGAAUUGUCAAGCAUGACUACCUAAGUAACAGCUAAGAGACUUAGAAGAUACUGAAAGUGAAAGUUGCUCUUUAGUUUGGGAUCAUAAAUCAGAAUAUCUGUAGAAAACUUGUAAAAUAGACAAGAAACAUAUUGAAAGUUGUUUGGAAUUCCUUCACAGCCACUUUAACCUGAUGUUAUAUAUAUAUUAUUAAGAUUAUUGUGGCUUGUGAAGUUUUCAAACCCCUCAGAACUAAAUAAGGGAAAAGUGCGUUUGGUGUGUUGCUGCUUCCAGUCCGAAUGUCGCCUCAGUCUGCCUGGCAGGGAGAACAUCUGGGCAAAAAACAACAGCUGCAUAAACACAAUCAGUCUAAAUGAAAAAGUGUCAAAUUAAUGAAGAAAUUUCAAGCGUUUGCUGGUUAAAAAUGACAAAACACCCAAAGAAAAGCCUACUGUUACUGGCCAGCGUGUUUCAUACGCUGCAGAUAAAUUCUCUUCUUGUAUUUAGAAUUUUGAUCAGUGCAGCAUUUAGUGAGAGCACCUGAACGCAGCACACUACUGUGAAAUGUUUGAGCUCCAUACUGCAGCUGUGGUUUCUGCUCAGAUCAUGAAGGUUGUAGAAAUCCCUGCGCUCUGCAGCUGUCCGACAGCAGCGCCGCAGGAAGCUGCAGCGCUGCAGCGAGAACAUGAUGCAUUUCUACGACUUCCAUGUUCGUCAAACUGCUUGCUGGGCAGCACGUUAGGGUUGCUGUCUCUCACGGGAGAAGAUUUUUUAAUUUAUUUUUUUAAACUUUUCGUUCCCUUUUCUGACAACGCAAACUUUUGUUAAGAGACUUCAAGAACUUGUUCAGACAGCUUGUGAAGCUCAUGGAGGAGAUGCUGCGUUAUUUCUGUGGAGGAGGAGGAGGAGGAGGAGGAGACCCAGGAGAGCUGAAGGCUGUGCUGAAUCGAGACGAGUCGGUUCCCAGCGACUCUCCGUUGUCCUGCCAGCCUGGCCGUUGCUUAGUAACUGGUGUUUUUAGUGCCAGCUGAUGUCUGAAUCGCCGGGCGUCUCACCACACAGCCGAUGGGCGCUCAGCUCUGCCUGCAGCCAGCAGAUCAGAAGACGCUAAACAAUUAGCCACCACAAACGCCACAUUUGUGCUUCAGCUGUUUGUUGGGCUGAAAAGCGACUGCAACUGAGAGUCACACUGGUUUACUCAUCCACAGCAGCAGCAGCGAAGCCCCUCAGGCGACCUGCUCUGACUCCGCUGUGAUGGGCUUCAUCGUGGUCGGAGGGCUGCCGUCAAACCUCCGAGCCGAGCGGCGGUUUGAAGUCAGUGGAGAUGAAAGGCCGCUCCCCUCCGGGCUUCUUCCCGUUGGGAGGUUUGAACGCCUCACGUCCUGUGCGGAUGGAGACGCCACAAACAGCCGGUGACAACAAUCCAAUCGUGACCGCUCUGGAGUCACACAGCGGCUCUGCUAGGGAUCCCAACCCUCAGAUUGAGCCAAUGACAUUCCUCCCUUCUACAAACCUGUUCAAUCUGUAAAAGUUUCUCUCUGGAGGGGUCCUUCCUGCCGGGAGGGCGACCGAGCCUCUGCCUGAAGGGAAAACACCGACAGGAAGUGAGGAUUUCUGUGUUUUUCUGAAGCCGACUGUCGUCCUGCUCGUUGAUCCUCUGUUGAUUGAUCGCAGCAGGAUCAGGUGGAAGGUGGAUCUGAAACCUCCACCACUGAAACUCUGGAUGGAUUUUUUAAAAAUUUUUGUUAAAAGUUUUUCUUUCCUCAUUUUUUUGGGAACUUAUAUGAGAUGUGGGGCUCCGUCUGAUCCCAGGCGAGGCUCUCCCAGACAUCACAGGUGGAAUAUAAAAAAGCAGUUUGGAUUUUUUGCCCAGUAGGACACCGUCGGCACACAACUGAAGAUCACUGAAGAGUUUCCUUUCCAAGAUGUUCCAUCCAUUUAGGAGAAGAAUCAGCCCGGUUUCGCGCUCGUCCUCCAAAUGCCUCUAAUUGCAGACUUUCUUUGAGGCUUUCCGUCAUUUCUAUGUCACCCGCUGCGCUUCAGAGACGCUCAUGAUUUCUGUAUAGACUUUGUAAAAGAUGGCUUUAGAUUUGUUUAGUUUAGUUUUCCCUCUAAAGCAUAUUUAAAAUGCUGCCACAUGUCACACUCACCUCACAUUUACAACUGCUGUCAUCUUUGUCCAGUAGCUACAGUCUGAGUGGAGCCUCUUUACCCAAACUCCAACUUAAAUUCAACUUCAGUCAAAUUUCUGCCCUAAAUGUUGGACUAAAAUUUUGCAGUUUGACGUCCUGCAGCUCUGAUUUCUCCUUUUUUCAAUGAAAAAAAAUAAAAAUUGAUAAGAAUUACUAAAACGGUGGUUGAAAAUAAACACUCUGGCUCCCCUCAGACAUCACUAAAUUGUGUUUUGUUUUGUUUUUUUAAAUGGAAAAAACAGGGCUUAUUCUUAUUUUUGUUUUUGAAAGCAGCUGCUUUUGUCCCAAAAGCAGCUGCUUUCAAAAUCAAAAUGUCAGCAAAAAAACAAACACUAAAAACAUUUUAAAAAUUAGCCAAAUGUUCAUCUGACACCUGUUAUUUUUAUCUUUGGAUAUUGACAUUUGCCCAAAAGCAGCUGAUUACAGCUCAAAAUAGGUUCAACUUUAUUUUAAUUUGUCAAUAUUUGGAUAAAAAAAUAGACUGACACAAACCUUUCCCACAUAGCAGCCAAAUUUUACCAUGAUGUUAUGAAAAAAGUAAUGUCUAAAUUUUUACGGCGGUUCAACCAGUUACAGCAUAUUUUGCUGUAAUUUUUUAAUAAAAAACAGUCAACGAUUUCCUUUUCACCACAGCUCUGUCCAAACUGUUUGUUUUUUAUCUAAAUUUGGACAAAAGUUCUGCUUUUUUUCUUUUUUGUCCAAGUUUAAAUGAUAAAAUCUUCCCAACAGCAGCUUUGAUUUACUUUAAAAUCUGCAGUUGAUGUUUUCUCUCUUUUGUCUUAAGUUUAAAUCGCUGAAAACCCCACAACUUGUUUUUCCAUUUCAGCUUCAUCCAAACUGUUUUAAUUUGUCAGAAUUUGUGUCCUUUUUUUGCAGGGUUUUAUUUGCUCUGAAUCUAGAUGAAGAUGUGUUCCAUAGGAGGAUAAAAGCUCCUUUCAGAUUGGCUGGAUGGAGCUGAUGAGACGCCAUCAGGUUUUUUCUCCAGAAGCUGGAUUUUCAUGCUCUUGAACGCAGCUCUUCAGUCCUCCUCACACAUCAGCAUGUCUGAGGUGAAGUGAAAACCCUUCGAUCUUUUACUGAGAAUGUAAAGUCAACACUGACACACUUCUGUACUUCUGUACUUGUGAGGUUCACUAUGGGCAUAUUUCAUUUCCUAAAACUUAAAAAAUACUAGUCUUAACCCAAAGACAUGACAGAUACACAACACAUUACAGAAGUGAGUACAUCCCUGUGUAGUAUCACUUAAAUGGAAAACAAUUCAGCAUUUUAUGACUCUCACUAACUACAUUUCAAGUUGAACAGGAGGUGUUUGCUCUGAUGCCAAAUUAAAAACUGUUUAGCUUUAUUGAGUUAAAAAUACAUGACGGAUAGUUUAAACUCAGUGCAACAAAAUUCUGCCGUUCUCUUUAAAAUACCACAAAGUUGUUCUAUCGGAUUCAAGUCAAGCAACAUGCUUCUGUGAUUUUGGCAAUAUAGUUUGGAUCGUAAUCGUGCUACAAUAUUCUUCUUCUGCCAAGUUUCUGCAGGCUGGAUUUCAUCUUGUCAGCCAGUAUGUUAGUUUAUCCACAGAUAUUCAUGGUUACAUCUAUAACUAUCAUCUCCUCAAACUUCUCUUGCAUUCAUGUAGCCCAUUAGCAUCACACUCCCACCUCCAUGCUUCACUGUCAGAGCUAUGCAUUCACUGAGCCGAACAAAUUUAUCUUCAUCUGACCAAAGAAUGUGCUCCCAGCAUUCGUCAGGCUUCAUUCUACAUUCUUUAGUUAAGGUGUUUUUGUAGUUUGGUGCUGACGAGCAUCAAAAGUUUUUUGUUAGAAGUCACUUAUAGAGACUGAUAUUGCAAACUGUCCUGUUCAACUAUUGUGAAGUGAUAAAGUUAUGAAUUAUUUGGCUGUUUAGUGAUAUUGCACAGGGAUGUACUGAUUUGUGUCGUAUACAAAAAAAUGUCCUACUUUAAAACUAGAUUUAGACUUUCUAGCUUUCCUUUUUUGAAACAGAAAAUGUCUUCACUAUUCUUUAAGUCUUAAUUUUAGCCAAAUAUGACUGAUUUCUAAAUUAUGUUUCUGUUCUACUUUAACAUAAUGUCCAAACAUUUCCAUCCUUUACAGAAACGCUCUGACAUCAGAAAACGUCGUCGCUGCAGAUGUGCGACGCUCUGAUUCGUCCUCACAAAGACACAAGUGCAAACACACACUUGAUGUUAGUCAUACACAUACAGUAUGAUAUGCAGUCGAUUCCGCCUCACGUGCACGUCUUUAAAGCACACACACGCUUAUGAACACCACAUGUACUGAUGCAGUGAUCAGCUGCCUGUUCAUCUGCACACCAACACUCUCACAGCGACUCACUGCCAAACUAAACCCUCCUUUUCCCCUCCUUCAUCCCCGUUUGUCUCUCAGACUCUCAUCCCCCUUUGCCCACUUCAUCUCGCUCUCCUCCCUCUCGUUCAGUUUUUAAUCUCGGCUCGACAGGUGAAAUACAUUUCAGUUGCUAAGGCUUAUAAAGAAGUAAAAUAGUGAUAAAGGCAGAAAAUACCUCUCUCUGUGAGUAAGACGUCUCACUCUGUCUUAUCUCCUCACCCCCUCUCGUCUCCCCCUGAAAUAGCUAAAACUCUCAUUACUCUGCUGUCAGCUGCUGCAGGAGGGACAAUCUGUGUGCAGGCUUUUAUUUAAGUCCUGGGAACUUUAGCAGCACUUUGGAAAGGUGUUUAUAUUUGGUGUCGCACUGUGAGGACACACAGGUGAAUAUACCUGCCUCUGUGGUCCGUCUUUUGGGUUAAAUGUUUGUUUUCAGGUUGUUUAUCUGUUCUUAAAGUCAUACGACCGAGACAGUCUGAAGGAUUCUUUGUGUUGGAGGCUUAAACGAAAGUCUGGAUGAAAAACGGAUCAACUGACGAAGCUUAGUUUCACUGAGAUUUAAAUGGGUGGAGAUCAGUCAGUCUGAGCUUAAACAGACAUAAAGCAACCAAAUAUGACAUAAAAGAGCCAAAAAUAGACAGAAAAUGACUUCAGAGAGACACAAAUAACCACAAACAAAAUGACUGGAAAAAUAUACAAAUUAACCACAAGAGACAGAAAAUAGUGACAAAGAUGCACUAAAUAACUACAAAAAUGCACUAAAUAGCCACAAAGGCUCAAAAUAAACAAGAAGAGGCACAAAAUAACCACUAAGAGAGACUAAAUGAGUACAAAGACACAUAUAGCCACAAAAUGACUACAAAAAGACCCAAAAUAACCACAGGGACACAAAAUGUGUACACAGAGACACAAAAUGACUACAAAGAGGAACAAAAUGACCACAAAGACACACACUAGGCACAAAGAGACACUAAUAGCCACACAAUUACUACGAAAAGACACAAAAUAGCCACAAAGAUGCACAAAAGAACACACAGAAAAACACAAAAAACCCACGAAGGGGCACAAAACUGCGACAAAGAUGCACCAGAUGAGUACACAGACACACACAGUAGCUACAAAAUGCAAAUUGACUGCAAAAAGACACAAAAUUGCUCCAAAGAGAGACAAUUAACCACAAAGAUGCAAAAUGAAAACCAUAGAAACACUCAAAAUAAUUACAGAGACACAAAACAACAAGAAAACAUUUAACAGAACGACAAUGAUAAGACACAAAAUAGUCACAACAAGACAUAAAAUAUCCGCAGAGACACAAAAUGGCCAGGAAAGAUGCUAAAUGACCACAGAAAGACACAAAAUGACUUCAAAGGGGAACAACAUGACCACAAAGACACACAAACUAGCCACAAAAUGUUUACAAAAAGACGCAAAAUCGCUCCAAAGAGACACAGUCAGCCACAAAAAUGCAACAUGAAAACCACAGAAACACUCAAAAUAAUUACAGCAACACAAAACAAUGACAAAGAAACAUGAAACAACCAAAAAAUUUGACACAAAGCGACAAAAAUGAGACACAAGACACAAAAUAACUACAAAAAGACAAAAUAUGCACAAAGAGAUACUAAAAGACCAGGAAAGAUGCUAAAUGACCACAAAAAGACACACAAUACCCCCAAAGAUGCACAAAAAACACAAAAUAUCCACAAAGAAGCACAAAAUAGCUAAAAAGAUGCAGACCCAGAUGAGUACACAGACACACAAAGUAGCUACAAAAUGCAAAUUGACUGCAAAAAGACACGAUAAAGCAGAAAGACUGACACAAUCAGUCACAAAGAUGCAAAAUGGAAACCACAGAAACACACAAAAUCAUUACAAAGAGACACAAAACAAUAAGAAAGAACAAAAUGACCAAAAAUUGAUUCAGAGCAGCAACGAUAAGACACAAAAUAGUAACUACAAGACACAAAAUAUCCGCAAAGAGACACAAAAUGGCCAGGAAAGAUGCUAAAUGACUACAGAAAGACACAAAGAUACAAAAUGAUUUCAAAGGGGAACAACAUGACCACAAAGACACACAAACUAGCCACACAAUUUCUACAGAAAGACACAAAAUAGCUCCAAAGAGACACAGUCAGCCACAAAGAUGCAACAUGAAAACCACAGAAACACUCAAAAUAAUUACAGCAACACAAAACAAUGACAAAGAAACAUGAAACAACCAAAAAUUGAAUCAGAGGAACAAUAAGACACAAAAUAGCCACAAUGAGACAUAAAAUGUCCACAGACACAAAAUAGCCAGGAAAGAUGCUAAAUGACCACUAAAGACACAAAAUGACUACAAAGAGGUACAAUAUGACCACAAAGACACAAACUAGCCACAAAGAGACACUAAUAGCUGCAAAAUGACCACAGAAACACUAAAUAAUUACACAGACACAAAACAACAACAAAGAAACACGAAACAAUCAAAAAUUGACACAAAGCAACAAAAAUAAGACACAAAACAGCCAUAAUGAGACACAAAACAACAACAUGUAAGCAUGAAAGAACUACAAGGAAACACACAGAGACCACGGGGCCGGUCUAAAGGACUUAAUGUGUUGGCUGUUGGACAGAUGAAGUUGUGGCCUGAUGAACGUUUGUCUCCUGAAUGUUCGGCUGCAGCUUUUCAUCAACAGGUGGAGAUGAGUCAGCGUAGCUCUAACGGCUCCAUUAGCCCUUCAGCUAAAUGACUGAGCUGCGUGUUAAUGGAGCACGAUGACAGUGACGGCUUGAAUUAUUAUCCGCUUAAACAGCAAACAGGGGAGAGAGAAUCUGAGAGAAUCCAUCUCCUUCCACUUCCCACUUUGUCUGCUUUUGUUUGGAAAUGUGACGGCGAAUUUAGCCGAACCCAUCAAGACAAGAAUGAGAGAGCAGCGAGAGGAAAGAGAAGGCGAGACAUCAAUUAAGCCUCCAUGGCUAAACACAGCAGGCAGAGCUGCAGGCCAACUGCAUCCAGCAGCAAUAUCAAAAGAGCUCGCAGAGACAUUUUCAUUUAUCCCACCUGAGAGGGAAGAAAAACACAGUUUGGAGACAAAACAGCAAUACAAAUGCUGUCAAAUCAGACAAAGCAGAGACACAAACGUGGCACACGAUGCCUUAAUCGAAUGUGAGAAAACAGUUGUGUGAUGAGAUGGAGGCUUUUAUUUUGAAAUGACCAUAAAGACACAUAAAUUGACCUUAAAUAAACAAAAAAACUGACACAAAGUAACACAGCAUUACUACAAAGAGAUGUUAAAUGACCACAGAGACUCAAAAUGACCACAAAGGUACUACAAAAGACACAAAAAACAACCACUAAGAGAAACAAAAUGACCACACAGAGACUGAAAAUGACCAGAAAGAGGUAUAAAAUGACCAUAAAGUGACACAAAAUGAUCACAAAAUGAGCACAGAGAGACACAGAAUGACUAUAAAGACACAUAAAACAACUGCAAAAAGAAGAAAAUGGCAGCAGAGCGACACAAAAUGACAAAAAUAUGGCAACAAAAUGAACACAGAGACAUAAAUCAACUAGAAAAAGACACAAAAUUCAUACAAAGACACACAAUAUGACUUAAUAUAAAUGCAAAUUAUCACUAGACCACCACUUGGAGAGGCCAAAUAAACACAAAGACACAAAAAACAACAACAAAAUAACACAAAAUAACCACAAAGAGACACAGAGUGACCACAAAGGGAUGUAAAAUGACCACAAACAGACACAAAAUGACCAGAGACAGAUGCAAAAUGGCUGCAAAGACACAGAAAAUAACUACAGUAUGAGCACAAAAAGACAUAAAAUAAUUAUGGAAGUGCAAAUGAUCAUGAGACAACCACUAAGAGAAGCAAAACAACCACAAAGAAAAACAAAAUGACAACAAAGACACUAAAAAGGACCACACAGAGGCACAGAAUCAGCAUAAAGACAUACAAAAGAACUACAGAAAUGCAAAAUGACCACAAAGAGACAAAAAAAAUCCAGAAAAAGACACGAAAUGACCACAAAGACACACAAAUAACCAAAAGAGACUCUAAAUGAAUGCAAAGAAACACAAAAUGACCAAAAAGACACAACAAAGAAACUACAGUGACAGCAAAUGACAAGAAAUAGGCUCAAAAUCACAACAAAGAGACUAAAAGUGACUAGAAAGAAGCAAAACAACUACAAAGAGACACAAUCAGCAGAACUUUUUUUAUACAGAACCUUUCUUUAAAAUCGGAUAUAAACGGGAUGAUAAAUAUGGAGAGUAAAACUCACCAAGAUACAAUUAAAACAACCAAAUAUAUCAAAGUGACCUCUGGGUUUUAAAUGAAUAAAACUGGUAAAGAAAGAACUGACAGAGUGAAGCAGCAUUAAAAGAUCAUUAACUGGUGAGGAACAGAAUUAAAGAAGGCCAUGUAGGAUUUUUCUUUCUUUUUUUUUUUCAACAGAAAUAAAGUCGUCUCUGGGCCUCCGUACUUUUCUCCUCGGUUGAUUUCUUGGUCUGAUCUGAUCCCAGAGAUGUUUGCAGAACGGAACAGCAGCUGGUAGGGAAAUAAUAUUCUUCUUCACGUUUCCAGCGUGCAGCACAAGUUAGUGUGUCUGAGCCCUUUAAUUCUGCAGUCUGCCUUUCAGCCAUGUGCAUCCUGCUCCUCUUCCUCCUCUUCCUCACCCAGUGUUCCUCCCACACCUUCAUCCCUCCCUGCUUGUCCUCCUCUUCCUCCUUGCCUUAUACUAAGCCUGUUUACAUAGGAUUAGAAACUCCAGCAGCUCCGACGCUGCUGUUUUUACCCUUUAAGGGAGUCGGACUGGAUUUGUGUUUUCUGGUGUGUGUUUUCUUUUCUGUUGUGUGUGUGUGUGUGUGUGUGUGUGUGUGUGUGUGUGUGUGUGUGUGUGUGUGUGUGUGUGUGUGUGUGUGUGUGUGUGUGUGUGUGUGUGUGUGUGUGUGUGUGUGUGUGUGUUUGUGUAGCUGCAGCCGCUGAGCCAAACUCUGCCCUGCAGCUACUGCUUCAACAAACUUUUUGUUUCUAAGCUCUGUACUUAAAGGGAAAAUCCACCCUGAGUCACAGUCAGAAUAACGGACACCAGGAGACCCCGGGGCCAAAAAUACCACACAGACACACAACGUAACUACAGUGGGAUGCAACACAACAAAGAGAAUACAGUGACGGUAAAGAGACACAAAACCACUACAGAGAGACUGUGAUUCAAAGCAACUACAAAGAGACCAACUACUAAGAGACAAAUGGCCAUAAGGAGACACAAAAUGACAAAACACUAAAUGACUACAAAGAGACGCAACAAACCACAAAGACACAGAAAAGCAUUACAAAAAGACUCAAAACAGCUAUAUGGUAGUGUCACGGCAACAAAAAGAGACAAACUGGCUACAAAGAGACAACAAAAUACCAUAAAGAGACAGAAAAUGACCACAAAGAGACACAAAUGACCCAAAAGUCCCACAGAAUUACUAUAGACACAACUACAGUGCAGUGCAAAGCAACAGCAAAGAGACUAAAAAGGCUGAAAAGACACAAAAUGACCACAAAAGCAACUCUGGUCUAAUGCAAAGCUGCUACAAAGACUCUAACUACAAAGAGAUUUUAAAAAUGUUCGUAAGGAGACAUAAAAUGACCACAAAUUACUACAGAGACACUAAGCUACUAUAGUGUGAUGCAAAACAACAACAGAGAAUAAAGUGACCACAAAGUGACCAAAAAUGACCACAAAGUGACUCAAAAUGACUACAGAGACACAAAAUGACCACAAAUAGGCAAAAAAUGAUCACAAAAUGACUAAAAACGAUUACAAAAAGACACAAAACCACAAAGAGACACAAAAUGACCACAAAGAGACACAAAAAGACGACAAAGUGACCAAAAAUGACCACAAAGAGACACAAAAUGAUCACAAAAUGACCACAGAGAGACACAAAAUGACUAUAAAGACACAUAAAACAACUGCAAAAAGACGCAAUACCACCACAAAUAAACACAAAACUACCACAAAUGGACACAGAAUGACCACAAAGAAACACAAUUUUAUCACAGUCACUCUAGUAUGAUGCAACAGAACUACAGAGACACUCAACAACUAUAGUGUGAUACAAAAGAGCUACAUAUAGACAAAAGAAACUACAAAUACAGACACAAACCGAUCACAGAAACAAACUGACAACAAACAGACGCAAAAUGACCACAAAGCAACACAAAAUCACUAGAGUGAGACACAACAGAGAGACUUGUUGCCCCUUUUUAAGGUGGAUUUUCCCUUUAAGGACAGGGUUGCGUUGGAGUUGUGUGUCUCCAGAUGAAACUGUGAAGUCUCCUGUUUUAAAAGCAUUUUCUUUUAUUAAUGAGCCGUUUUGAAAAAGUGUCACAGAAACAAAUUAACUGGUGUAAAUCUGCGCUUUUUCCAAGUUUCGUACGGAUCGCGCGUCUUUCUCUCUGCAGUGUUUCAUUUAUCUGGUGACAUUCUUUUGCAAGUCGCAACACAACAACAAAAAAACGUAAAAAAUGCAAAGCAGACGAUGGAAACGAGGUCUGUGGUGUUUCUCAGUCUGUAUGUUAAUGUUGUACUUUAUCGAUGCAAAGUUUUUAGUUUUGAUAAAGAAUCUGAGUCGGCGCUUUGUGGACACGUGAACUGUUUCAUCUUUUCCCUGCAAAAACAAACCAGAGAAACAAAACUAGAAUGAAAAUAAAUUCAAAAUCAAAUGAAAUUUAAACACAGCUGAAGUCAAAACAGAAAGAAAAGAAGAAAUAUUGGCACCAAAAAAAAUCUAAUUUCCAAACACUAAAGACUAUUUGCAUGUUUUAAAAUGAAUUUUUAAAAGAUAAAAGUUACAUUAUUACCUGCUAGAAUUCAGAAAAAGUAGGCAAAAGAUAAAUAACUUCAGCAUUAUUGAUUAAACAGUUAUUUAACCCUUAGAUGCACAAGUGAUUGGACCCUACACUCUUCCUUAAGUGACCUGUAUAAGAAUCAAUGUGUUUUUAUGUCAUUUUUGUCAUUUUGGUUAAGAAUAAUAAUUUACAUCAUUGUUUGUGUUAUAUUUUUGUCCACACAAAAAUGAUUUCAUGUUUGAAAUAUGUUUAUUUUUCACUUCACUAACAGAUUUUGAACAUUCUGAUGAUUGAAAAGAGCAGCAAUAGAAGGAUGUCAGCAUCCAUUUUGUUGACAUUUUUCCACUCUUUUCCUCCAGCUGUUGCUGCUCUCUGUCUCUCUAAUUUUGUGCAUCACCUCUUGUAGGAUAUUAUCAGUGAUAAGGAACUUGGAGUAGUGAUAUAAAAAUUACGAUUUCUUUCUAAGUGUAAAGGUAACUUAAACAUUUUAAUGUUGUGCUUUGAAAACAUGUUUUUUUAGGAAUAGCUGGAAUGUGAAAUGAUAAAAUCUUUUCGUUACGAAGAUAUUGCAAGAAAAUGACCUCACCGGCUCAUUUUUCAACCCACUUAUACAUCUAAGGGUUAAAAUAACUAACUAAAUAAAUAGCAAAAGCUAAAAUUUCACAUCAUUGCAGCACAAUGAAAUGCAAAUUUAAUUUCAAAACAAGACUGGAAAUAAAAUGCAAGUGAUUUCAAAACGUGAAAUGGCUAAAAAUUAUUUCAGUGGUUUUGAAAUGUUUUAUCUCAAAGCUGUGGAACGCAGUGACUCUUUUUUAAUGAUUUUUUUUUUUAUUUUUGUGCUCUUAUCUGCAGUUUUUUCUCAGUGCAGGUGACGUGCAGGUUGUGUGUUUGUUGUGUGAUCAGAGCUCCUCUAUAUUUUCUUAGUGGUUGAAAGUUGUCGUGUCCAAACUGAAGUGUAGAUUUUUCUUGCUGCCUUCUGUCUGAGCUCCUUUGCGAGUCCGUGCUCUUGUUUUGUAAAGAAAUAAAACUCACUGUUGGACCAAAACGGA